rnacentral:rRNA from 1 species
GACGAACGCUGGCGGCGUGCUUAACACAUGCAAGUCGAGCGGUAAGGCCCUUCGGGGUACACGAGCGGCGAACGGGUGAGUAACACGUGGGUAAUCUGCCCUGCACUCUGGGAUAAGCCCGGGAAACUGGGUCUAAUACCGGAUACGACUCUUGCAGGCAUCUGUGAGGGUGGAAAGUUCCGGCGGUGCAGGAUGAGCCCGCGGCCUAUCAGCUUGUUGGUGGGGUGAUGGCCUACCAAGGCGACGACGGGUAGCCGGCCUGAGAGGGCGACCGGCCACACUGGGACUGAGACACGGCCCAGACUCCUACGGGAGGCAGCAGUGGGGAAUAUUGCGCAAUGGGCGAAAGCCUGACGCAGCGACGCCGCGUGAGGGAUGACGGCCUUCGGGUUGUAAACCUCUUUCGCCAGGGACGAAGAGUGAUUGACGGUACCUGGAGAAGAAGCACCGGCUAACUACGUGCCAGCCGCCGCAGUAAGAC